CGAAAGAAUUAAAGUGCACAACGACAAAGUUUUCUGCAAACGCAUCACGACUGUUUUCUGUACUUUUCCAGAGCAGGAAAAUAUUGUUACAUCACGACAAUUUGAGUAUAAAUACUCGGGAGUUUUCCUCAAUUGGCAUAGUCAGUUUGAGAAGUCAACUGAAGCAAUCCAAAUCAAUCCAAAAUGAUGAAGUUCCUGUUCUUCGCCCUCCUCGUCGUCCUGGCCGUUGCCACCGCCUUCGCUGCUCCUGAGCCAGCUCCCCGUCCCUUCGCCGCCCCUCUGCCAGCUCCCCAGCACGGAUAUGGCUAUGGCGGUUAUGGAUACGGCAAGGGUUAUGGAUACUACUAAGCUAAUGACUCCCAAGGAUUCAAUCGGCGCGGUGAUCUUCAGAAUUGCAGUUUUGUCGGCGAAAAUUAUCUUCUUGAAGGUUUCAAUGGCAAAAUAAAUCAAAAUUUGCAUUAAAUUAA